rnacentral:rRNA from 1 species
GAUGAACGCUGGCGGCGUGCUUAACACAUGCAAGUCGAACGAUGAAGCCCAGCUUGCUGGGUGGAUUAGUGGCGAACGGGUGAGUAACACGUGAGUAACCUGCCCUUGACUCUAGGAUAAGCCCGGGAAACUGGGUCUAAUACUGGAUAGGAACGUCUACCGCAUGGUGGGUGUUGGAAAGAAUUUCGGUCAUGGAUGGACUCGCGGCCUAUCAGCUUGUUGGUGAGGUAAUGGCUCACCAAGGCGACGACGGGUAGCCGGCCUGAGAGGGUGACCGGCCACACUGGGACUGAGACACGGCCCAGACUCCUACGGGAGGCAGCAGUGGGGAAUAUUGCACAAUGGGCGAAAGCCUGAUGCAGCGACGCCGCGUGAGGGAUGACGGCCUUCGGGUUGUAAACCUCUUUCAGUAGGGAAGAAGCGAAAGUAACGGUACCUGCAGAAGAAGCACCGGCUAACUACGUG